GCGAGAAGCCCUUCGGGGUGAGUACAGCGGCGGACGGGUGAGUAACGCGUAGGAAUCUACCCAGUAGUGGGGGACAACUAGUGGAAACGCUAGCUAAUACCGCAUACGCCCUACGGGGGAAAGCGGGGGACCUUCGGGCCUCGUGCUAUUGGAUGAGCCUGCGUAAGAUUAGCUUGUUGGUGAGGUAAUGGCUCACCAAGGCGACGAUCUUUAGCUGGUCUGAGAGGAUGAUCAGCCACACCGGGACUGAGACACGGCCCGGACUCCUACGGGAGGCAGCAGUCGGGAAUAUUGCGCAAUGGGCGAAAGCCUGACGCAGCCAUGCCGCGUGUGUGAAGAAGGCCCUAGGGUUGUAAAGCACUUUCAAUUGGGAGGAAAAGCUAAUACUUAAUACGUAUUAGCCCUGACGUUACCUUUAGAAGAAGCACCGGCUAACUCCGUGCCAGCAGCCGCGGUAAUACGGAGGGUGCAAGCGUUAAUCGGAAUUACUGGGCGUAAAGCGCGCGUAGGCGGUUUUUUAAGUCGGAUGUGAAAGCCCCGGGCUCAACCUGGGAACUGCAUCCGAUACUGGAUCAUAAGAAAUGCGGGAGAGGGAGGUAGAAUUCCAUGUGUAGCAGUGAAAUGCGUAGAUAUAUGGAGGAAUACCUGUGGCGAAGGCGGCCUCCUGGCUCGACAUUGACGCUGAGGUGCGAAAGCGUGGGGAGCAAACGGGAUUAGAUACCCCGGUAGUCCACGCCGUAAACGAUGUCUACUAGCUGUAGGGGUACUUGAGACCUUUGUAGCGCAGCUAACGCAAUAAGUAGACCGCCUGGGGAGUACGGCCGCAAGGUUAAAACUCAAAUGAAUUGACGGGGGCCCGCACAAGCAGUGGAGC
rnacentral:rRNA from 1 species